UCCAAUGUAUUUCUGCGACCUAGGCAACCCUGAAGCAGCAAAAUUGUUGAAGUUACUCACUUUUCCAGAUAUCUUCUCAAUUCCGCUGACUAGCAUGUGCCUCGAACUCUCAAUCUCCGAUUGCAAUCCAUCCCUAGCUUUCACCGCCUCCUCAAAUUGCUUCCCAAUCUCAUCUCUCUGCUUCACAGACUCCUCCUUUAACUUACUCAAUUCAACCAAAUCCGCAGAUAUUCUCUCCUUCUCCUUCAAAGCCUCUUCCUUCUCGCGCACAGCUUCAUCCCGCUGCCUCGCGCACUCGUCUCGCUUCCUGAUUGCGCGAGCGCCUUUAACCGAUUGAACGAAACCUGCAGUUCAGACUUGGACGUCUCGGCUGCCUCACGAGCAGCUCUCUCGCGAUCGAGCUCAGCAAGCAGGUCGCGAUAUCUCUCUACGGAUAAAUCUUCCAAACUCGGACUUCUAAUAGCGAUCGGCACCGGAUCCUCACCCUCCACAUCGCUCAAAACGGCGUCGUUGUCGUCACCGGCACCAGUGGCCAUUCCAGAUUGAAUUCAACUAGUAUAGCGGGUGAUCAAUCCAUAAAACUUAAUAAUAUUCAAUAUCUAAUUAAUGCAAUUUCUUGUUAUGGGUAAGCCCUAGAAUCGGAAUUAGAUGAAAACCAAAGAAAACGAUUACGUGGAAUGAAAGGCAAAAUCGAUGUUGGAAUUGGACGCUGACUAGAUAGUUUUCAAAGAGAAAAUUGAGGUUUUGCUUAGAAGCCGAAUGAAAUUGGAGAGAGAGAUAGAAGAUGAGUUACGUAGGUGCAAGUACAGGAAGGAGGAGGAGGAGGAGG
rnacentral:misc_RNA from 1 species